rnacentral:tRNA from 1 species
GGCUUUUACAUGCACUCAGAUUUGAACUCUGAAAAUGGGGAUACUUAUCCCCAAAAGCCU